rnacentral:rRNA from 1 species
GACGAACGCUGGCGGCGUGCCUAAUACAUGCAAGUAGGACGCACAGUCUAUACCGUAGCUUGCUACACCAUAGGCUGUGAGUUGCGAACGGGUGAGUAACGCGUAGGUAACCUGCCUAUUAGAGGGGGAUAACUAUUGGAAACGAUAGCUAAUACCGCAUAACAGUAUGUAACACAUGUUAGAUGCUUGAAAGAUGCAAUUGCAUCGCUAGUAGAUGGACCUGCGUUGUAUUAGCUAGUAGGUAGGGUAAUGGCCUACCUAGGCGACGAUACAUAGCCGACCGGGGAGGGUGAUCGGCCACACUGGGAAUGAGACACGGCCCAGACUCCUACGGGAAGCAGCAGUAGGGAAUCUUAGGCAAUGGGGGGAACCCUGACCGAGAAACGCCGCGAGAGUGAAGAAGGUUUUCGGAUCGUAAAGCUCGGUUGUUAAGGAAGAACGAGUGUGAGAAUGGAAAGUUCAUACUGUGACGGUACUUAACCAGAAAGGGACGGCUAACUACGUG